GUAUCGGACGAUGUCAGGUUAGUCUAAUAUCGUUUAAUUAAUCCAAACGACGCUGAAGCGUGGAGCAAAUGAAACAGAUCGACGGCCAGGUGACUCGAAUCCAAAGUCGAGUAACUUGACCGAUGUGAACGAGGCCUAAGAGGAGGAGGGCCGGAGUGCGCGAAGCAACGGAUGGGGGCCGAAGGCGAAGAAGAAGGAAGAGAAGAGCCGCGCAACGGUCAACGUUCUGCUUCUUGCGCGGAUUCUAAAUACAUUUUAAUAUAUGAGCGCGUCGUGCUCGACUCGCGUAGCGUUCGUCGUCCAUGAAAACUUGGUACGCGUUAAAUCCGUUCCAUCCAGGCCAGCUGAUCGAGGCGAGGGCCUUCGAUCGCGCGCAUCGCGCCGAAAAUCGGAAAUAAAUAUAUUACCGGCCGAUCAGAAAUAAACUACGCACGGUGCCGGGCUAAACGUAGAACAGAUCGAAACGCAAACUCGAUUCCGGGGAGAUAGCGGUGAUCGAUGGGAAAUGUCGCGUCCUCCGAGUGAACGAAGAGACGAGGUCGACCGCGAGGACGGUCAGGGAUUUCGGAAACAGUUCUGGAAGGUCACAGUUCCUCGAGUGUUUCUACUUACUUCGUUGAUUGCAACAUACUAUAUGGCUAAUGAACACCGUGUAAAGGAUACCAAAGAAGGAACCACUUCGAAUCGGACGCUUUCUUCUGGCGGAUUAAAGAAGGUAAAAGAGAGCAUGAAAAUCUAUGGACCUUGAAUAUAUAUGUAGUCGCUGUAUUUUUCGAUCGUUUAUUUUGUCAACCUUUUAUUAUUGCAUAGAUAAAAAUAUGCGAUAAUAUUCUAACAAAUUUCCCAAAUUUCGAGACGAUCCCAAUGUCCUCUCCAAGCGAAUCAUAUACAUGUUAUUUCUUUCGUAUUAAUCACUUAUCCUCUUUAAUUACUGAACACCUAGUUUCUAAGAAAUAUAUUUGAAUAUUUAUAAAUCGAACGAAUCGUGUGCAAUGAGUUACUAGCGAUUGACGAGGAUAUAAGUAUCGUGUAUCGAAGCAAACGCGAAAUAUCGUAAGAAAUGGCGUCCUCGCGUAAAAAUGGAAAUUUCGCCUGGAAGAGAAUUUAUUCUAAAACUACCGACUAAUGAGUCAAUCGCGUGCAGAAUAUCGCGUGUCAAUUGCAUUUCACCAGCAAUUUAAGCUUCCGUAGCACGGUGCACAUCCGUGGCUUUUACGAAACAACGGAAGUUUGACGUUCGAUGUACGUAUCAUCGAUAGAACUAUACGGCAAUCAGUCGAGUCUCGUAAAAGGUACACGAGCAGUCGGUAUUCUCUCAUUAUAACCAACAAAAAUAGACAUCGUUAUUUCGUCGCUUACACGAAGCCGCGGUUUAAAGCAUGGCUUUAUUUUUAGGUAAAACAUAAAGCGUUACGUAAACGUCGAACAGCGUACAGACGUUUCGGGACAUUUUCGCGCGAAUCUUCCUUUUUCCCUUUUCCCUUUCGCCGUUCGAAACUUCGCCGCGAAUAUCAUCGAUUUGUAAUUGCGGCGUAUUUAAAUUUUUCUGUACGAACGAUACUUUUCGCAAUAACAUAGCGUUUUCUUUAUUUGCAAUCUGAAUGAAGAAAUCCACAUAUUCCGUUUUACACGCGUCUUUACACCCUGCCAACCAAUUCCACGCGAAAACGACGUAUUCCUUCAUUCGAAUUUAACAAAUACCGAUAACAUUCAGUAAGCAGUUUAAUAUUAAUUUGUCUUAAUCGACAUUGUAAAUUUAUCAUAUAUUUUCAAAAAAUGUAUAUCUUCGAAUUUAUCAGGUUGUUCUCUUCUCCGGCUAUUUUCAACUUCUUGUUCGAAAUUUCUAAAUUUCCAAGUUACUUCUUUCCAGCCACGAAGUGAUAGGAAAAUCAGAAAAACGAGAUAAAUGGGCUUAUCUUUCUCCGUAACUUUCCUCUUCUAUAAUUAGAUUUACCACUAUUUAUUAAUGCAAAUUAAACAACCGAAUUCAGUCGCCAGCUAAUAGCACCUGCUUAUUCCGAUCUCUAGAGAUUCGCGUUUACGAUUCGGGUUUAAUGCCUCCAUCGGGCUCUGCCCCUAACGAGGUUCUAUUAAGUUGAACACGUGUUCCGAAAGCUUUGAUAGUCCACGUUAGCGUGAAUCUCAUCGAGCAGACCCUGGAAAUAGCGUGGGACACGCGCUAGUUGCCUGAAACUCGACAAGUCCGAUUUUAUUUAUGAACGUUUUUAUAAAUGACGUGCUAAACAUCUACGAUGACAUCGGAUGUCAGGCAUCGGAUGAUCCAUAGGAUCUGGCCCGAAAUGAAUCUUCGAACAAUAAGGAGAAACGCGUUAUUUCUAUUAGCGAAAAGUUGAGACGUAACCUGCAAUAAAAUCUCGAGUGUAUUUGACAUGUGCGUGGCUAAAGAAAAACAAACGUGCUCGCGCAACCAGAAAUUUAAACGAAACUUUGUGCUAAAUUCCCUCGUAUCUACCUUGUCGAAUGGCACAACAAACGAUACUUCCGUUCGUUCAUUGAAAUUUUAGGUCUGUCGAUUAUCACGAAUUUCGACCGCGAUAUUUUUUCUCCCAGCCAUCGUCUUUGCUACCCGAUUUUUCUUACCGAGCCACCGUUCUCAAAUUCUCGAUCGAUCCAAGGUCCAAUUAAUCGAUUCCUCCGUUAAUCAAAAUUUCACUGUCAUCAAGAGGAGACUGACGUUGGAACUGUCGAUGAGAACUGUCAGGUUUAUAACUUGGCAGUUGCUUGGUUAAACAAUCGGCUGACCAGACCUUCUCGUUUCUGAAUUUCUGAAUGCAAGGCAUUCGACACGGAGCAUCUUAAAUCGAUCGUCUUUUCAUUGCUCUUCACCGAUGGUAUUCUUCAACGUCUACCGGACGUUCGAUCAAGUCUACGCCAAUCAAAUAACUCGCGAACGAUGAAGUUUACUUGCGAAGCUUCGUAUGGCUCGUUGUCAAAUUUAUCAUCGCCGUACUUGCUUCUAACUACUAGAAUCUCACCGAUAACGUCAGUUCGGACGUGCGGGCGAAGCUGCUAGCUGCCACUUGCGAUCUUCCUAAAGCAGUCGGCAACGAAAAAUGUACUCGAGCAACCGUGAAAUAAGAAAAUAAUCUGAAUCAUCGAGAAUACUCGUACAGCAGGUGACGACCUGACGCAAGGGGAAGCAGGAGAAACAACGGAGCCGGACCGUUCGGUUCGGUCAGCCAACAAAUCACGUGGAACGCGAGACGCACGGUCCCUGAAGAUUUACAAGCGAGGCAUCGGGAGGAUCAAAGUUGAGACUUUGGAUGACAGAUAGGGGUUACGGGAGGGGCAGAGCGCGCGAGAUACGUCUAUUCUGGAUUCUGGCAACAAUAAUGCCCGCCAGGGACAGCGGACCGAGUGGACCAACCGCAACACACGCGCCUUGUGCUCCCGCGAACAACUAAUAACGCGGCUAGUACAAAGGCCGCCUGGUCUAAUUUCGUAUUAUCCUGCGCGUCGCUUGCUAAAAAUACAAAACCAAAAAGCCUGGGUACGUUCACUUUUUAACAAGGAAGCGAGAAAUUUUGCCGGUUGACGGAUGCUUCGACGAUAACAUCGAGCGAGAUUGUCGACCGGACGGAUGAUGGAGGAUGGCGAGCUAGACUCUGCUUGCAAACAUUCCCGAGAAUGAUUUACGAUCCUGUAUAUAAUCGAAGGAUAUAAAUCGUGCAGCUUCCUGGAAGACGAACGUAUUAUUGAUCUAUGGUUCGUUCUUCCGUGAAACUUCUCUUCUGAAUUUUGUCGCGAUCGUUAAGGAAUGACAGGCGAACGUUCGUCGAUUUACGGUGGCUAUAAACUGUAUCGGCGCAACGUCGUUGUAGCAUUUACGUUCUAACAUACCUCGGCCGAGGUAUAUUAAAUCACGUAUCGUUUAGCGGUACUUUUAAACGGCUACUAAAAUUUCCCUACUGUGAAACCGAAUCGUGCUACUUCAUUAGAAAAUAAGGGUAUGUGCCAAUACUUGCUCUAGCCACUGUACGUCUACUUGAUUUGUGGAUCGGUUAACGUUCGGCUGGUUUGUGUAUUUUGUAACGGAUCGAACGCUGUAUCGACGAUUCUCCUCUAAUUUUACAAGAACCGAAUUUAUCGUAAAGAGGAGCAAAGGGGCGUAGAUUUUGCCCUGCGAGUCUUUUUUUUCAGAAAUUUUUCGACCUACGAUAUCAGGAAGAAUUUGAAAUUUCGUUUGAUGAGUUUUAACGCCGGUAAGCCUCUUUGCUGGUAAUUUAGGCUUCUUUAUUAGAGUUUGAUGGCAACUAAGAGGGAUGUGCACGUUGAUGGAUAUACGCGUUGCAGGUUUGCGUGGUUGGAGCCGAGCAAGGGCAGGAAAUCGUUGGAUACACGAGGUACACCUCGUCACAUCAUUUAUAGGAGUAACAACGAGACCUGUUUAUUGCUAGUUCUUGAUAGAAAUUGGAAGCAUUGAGUGGAACAGUAUCUGUUCUCUGAAUAUGUCGAUAUCGAAUUUCGUUACUUGUCAAAUCAUUGCACACGGUGUCCCUCUAUCGAUCGUACAAUCGGCAAACAGCAAUUCUUCGUGAAAGAACAAAUGGAAGAUACAGAAGUCGACUACUCCUCCGUCAUUGUACCACCAACAACAGUGGAUUCCCUGUAUACGUAUAACAAAUUGCUUAUCGGCUGACCGGUUCGAAGUAAAUGAAGUACCAGCGCACGGCGUACAAAGGUACAUACGCACGCAGUCGAAGAACAACAACGGGUCUUUGGCUCGUGUCGUUGCGUCACGGCGACGCAUUCUUUCCGGUCGGAAGUUUGGGACGCGUAGUCGUCGUCGUCGUGUCUGUCAAGCGGUCCGUGACAGCGGCGAAUCAAAGCGCGAUCGGCGGCUAUCCUCUUUUCUUCCUCCUCUCUGUCCUCGUGCCUUUCGUCCACUAGUUUGCUUUCAGGGUUAACGCGGCGAAAUAUCGGUGCCGCUUAUGUAAAAUCUUGUACGAGUAACAUUGGCAUUCUAAUAAUAAACACGGCAGUCAGGCCUGCCUGGCCCAUGGCAACGUAGAAACGCGUUCAUUACCUACCUGACCGCGUACAACGUCGCAAUCAGAAGAGUAAUUUGCUGCGCGGAGAAGAUCCUCGCCGCGUUAGAGGUGCUUACGACCUAAACUAAAAAUACGUACGGGGUCCGAUCAACGGCCAACUGGGCCAGUGAAGUAACCGUAGCUCAACGUCCCAAAUAUAGUCCGACAUCUGUACAUAUAGUCGCGGAGUGCCGAUAGUUGGCAUCCGCGGCAACGUGCAAACAUCACCGACAGUAUAAUAGCGGCUGUCACCACGAUUCCCUAAUGACAUACCUAUCGUUGGAUCAUCUCUCGCUCGUUCUUUCUUCCCAACGCGGCCAAAUUUCCUACGCGUUCGUCUUCUUUAAAUUGUCAAACCGUCGGUGUAAUUCGUCCUGUGUAUGGACGCGUGUUUUCGUUGCAGCUGAGAGAGGAGAAUCCGUAGGACAAUUUUCAUGGUCUCCGCACUUUGUCUUCCCCUUAAAUUCUCCCGAAACUUGCUCCGUUGAUAUAAUCGUUCCCUGUAUACGAUCGUGUGUUUUCGUUGAAAUCGAGAGAGGGAAAUUUGCAGGUUCGAAGAUUCAGACAAUCGAGAGAUGCCAGACAAUGGCGAUGGCUCAUUUCGAUGGUACGGAUGAAGUAGGUUGCUGAAGUACUUUGGGCUGGUUUCGCGGCAAAGUAUUACGUUUGCUUUGGUAGCAAGUCAAAACCUUGAAAUAGUUCUUAGCUUCGCGAAUCGUUUAAUGCAGAAGAUUCUUCUCUUUCUUUCUCUGGGUCGCUUCUUUUGAGCAGAAAGACUUCACAGAGUUGCAAACGUUAAAAGAUCGUGGAAGAAAACUGAUUUUACCUUUGAUCGACAUUCGUCGUAGCAAAUAUAUGCAUUGUGUAAGAAGCAAAUGAUCGGUGAGAAGGUAAAUGAUUGUAUCCAAGAGGCGAUGAAUCAACGAGCCGAAGAUCCUGUCACGUUUGAAGAUCUAAAUGCAGGCGAUCUAUGGUAAAACGAUAUUCGAUUAAAUAUCGAUGUUUGUCCAAAAAGAGAUAAAAAUGUCAGGCGUAUCAAAUAGAAAUUCAGCGAUCCCUCGCGUCUAAAAUCAACGAAAAAAUUCGAAUCAAAUGCGAAUUCUCCGCUUAGGUUGAAAUCUCUCGGCUUAAGAAGAAGAUUUUUCGAGGAAUCUCGUCGGAACGCACCGAUGCCAGCAACUUAAUUUUGCGAUUUUCGCGAGCAGCCGAGCAUCCUCGCGCUAGAUCGUUGCCAGGAAACCUACACUAUCGUACGUUUGCUUCAAUUCGAUUUACGAUGACACGUGCAACGGUUAUAAAUAAAUGGCACGCGAUUGUUUAUACGUCGAUAGUUACUGACGACAUCGUGAAAGUAGUCGUGGACGUUUGCAUCGGACGUCUGAUUGGAAAUCCGCGACGAGAGCUGUAGAAGCGGAACCGUUUCGUUGCCGCGAGACGUUGAUGGAUCGCGCGAGGGAUGCGACAAAGGGGAAGGAAAUAUUGCUCGUUCUCAAGGAAAAUCCAGUAUAAAUAACGCAUGAAAUUUAUGCACGCAACCCUGUUCCGCGAUAGGAGUUCCCUCCUUUUUCCUUUUUUCCUCUGAGGUCGGAUAGUUCGAAGGACAGCGGUUUCCACGCGAGAUCGGUUCGAGGAAAAAAAGCGUCGCGGAGGUCGAUCGUUCCUUCGAUAUUUUAGGAAAAAUGCUGUUGAGAAGUGUCAUUCUUUUUUUUUUUUCAAAGAAAUAUUCGAAAGAAUGUAUAGGAGAAAAGAGAGGAUCGAAAAAAAGGAGGAGGAAAAAGAUAAAAAUAACGAUAAAGCGGGGAAGAAAAGAGUAUUAAAAAGAUGUCGAUAAAAAAAAGUGGACACCUUUUUCUCUACAGAAAAAUGUAAAAAAAGAAUUUAAGAAAUGAUGCUUCGAUAUCUGAUUCCAAGCGUCUCCGAGCAUUUCACUUCCACGCGUUUUUAUUUAAGUAACGUUACAAGAUACCUUUCUUUCUAUCGUCACGGGCCGAGGAAAAAGCGAACGAGCAGAGGGUCUCUGACAUUGUGACGAAUUCCAUAUGACCGAUACACGAAGCACAGGAAAAGCAAAACAGAGAAAAGGAAGAAGAAACGGACGAAACCGACGUAACUACGUCUGGCGAGGAGUCAGAGAUUACGUUUAUAGAAGGAUAUUACGUAGGUACUCGAACUCGUUGUUGCAGAGAUUUAUUUUUCAUAAAUCCUACGGAUCAUCGUCUUUCGCCAAUUUCCAUUCUACUCGAUGAUUAAUCUUCCCAUGGGAAAGGUGAAAGUAGAAAAAACGGUUGUUCCAUGUGCAAUAAAAAAAGCGAGAAGGAAGAGAAGCGUAAAGGUUAAGGGAGAAAGGGAAAUAUAAAAGAAGAGGAAGCAAAAAAGGAAGAAGAGAAAGAAAGGAAAAGGGUCACGGCGAAGCCUGCCUUUCAUUACACGUGUUUACGGCUGAACGAAAGCACCGGCUAUCUAUUUUUACAUCCGUAUCUCGUUCGCUGUAUAGAAGAAUCGAAAGUAGUAAAACUCGAACGGCGCAAAAAUUGCCGCUGGCAAGCGUUCACAGCGCGAGGAUAAACCGGCGAAGCGUACGAGACGACGGAGGGCGAAACGGCAGCAAAACGACAGGUUUCGAGCUAAGGCGACGUGGAGGAAACGCAGAAAACUCUCAUCUAUCAUGUCGAAACGUGUUACGCGCGAAAAUAGUCGCAAGGAUACACCGAGGUCGGACUUGGCGAGAGCGUGGACGGGACGCCGGGCGUCAAGGGUGCGCGUGGAUUAUCAAGCGUACGCACCAGCUGCCGCGACACUCUCGCCAUCCUCGCGUCCAUUGCGAACGCGUCGGCCGCUUUCGAUCGCGCGGCUUCUUUGGCAUGAUAUUUCAUAAAAAAAAAAAUAUGUUUAUCUAGAAAUGUGACUCGGGAAAUUUCAACUCGAAAGCCUAGAAGUCGAGAUAUUUAAAAACUUUCACGUUCGAAUGGUCGACGACUUGAAAAUUUCAGUCUGGCGCUUGGAAAUGCGAAGGUUUGGACGUUGGAAAGUUCAAGAAAUUGGACACUUUGAAUGUUACAAACGGUUGAAUUUAAUGAAAUUCUUGCGAAAACUGAAACUGCGUACGACGCUGUAUCGUAGAACGAUGCUAUAAAGCGGAUGGCUCGUGCAAAGACAAACCGAAAACGUUGCACAAAAUUUGUUCUCGAGAAGGCCAUGGUACGCUAGGUGCAUAUGCACUUAAGCGCGAUAUAAUUCGUCGAAUGAUACGUUAGUCAAUUGUUUUGUUUACUCGCGAACUUUACGAGAUAUGAAAUAACGAUUGUAUUAUUAAUGCAAACUAUCAGCGAUUUUCUACGAAGAACAUCCGCUUUAAGAUACGCUACAUCGAUAACCAACAAUUCAUAUCAACAGAACCGUUGCAUCUUCUAUUAUAUUUUAUUAUACAUUCUAUUACAUUCUAUAAUAAUUAUUCGAUUAAGAGAUCACGCUAAUAUUAAAAACGUCUAUCUCGUUGAAUCUUGCUCUUAAUUUUCUAUUAAUUCUGUAGAAAGCAAACUGUAAGUUUUACAACCUGCGUUGCGUUUACUAUUCUCAUCAAGGCACUGGAACUAUUCAUAGACAAUUAUGAAAGUUUGUAUAAAUAGCUAGUAAUAUUACAAAUGCGAUAUAUAAACAUAUUCAUUGUGACUAUGCGAGUGGAUCUGUGUCGACGCAGCUUCUGACGAGCGUCGUGAAACGGAACAACUGUUGUCUCGACUCGAAAAGAGAUUAAAAUGCCAGAAACUCGAGUUCUGUCUCAAUAUUAUUGUUCGGCUUACCUUUGAAGGUGUAGUCGUCCAGUUUCGUCGUUCAUUCUGUGUAACAAUCAUUGAAGAUAACAUUAGGAGGUGGACAAUUGUAUACAGGAAAAUAAAAUUUCAUUUUUCAAAGGAUGAACGACGUCAGGAUGUCUAGGUGUAAUUACUACAGCACUUAGUAUUCUGUAAUAAAAGAAAUUUCUCUUUAUUAGAUUGCCAUCUUUGAGAGUAUCGAGAUUAAUUUGCAUUCAAAUAAUUACGUAACAUAUUUCGCAAAGAUGAUUAAAAGAAUGAGAAAAUGUGAUUAUUUAAGGAAUGGACAUUUGACGAUUUUGCUUAAAACGCGUCAAGAUUAAAAAUGUUCAUUGACGGUGCGAACGAAGCAAGGCCUAUUUAAACAAGACGAAUGUGCUCAGAAGUAUUUAUAAUUCCAUGCUUCUGUAAAACGUUAGAUUAUUUUUGUGUGGUUUGAUCGGAGAAGACGUUACGUCUGCCAUCCUGAGAUGAGACAACGCGCUCCAAGGUGUCUAAUACGAUACUUGUCUUUAUCCUAGAUAAAACAUCAUACAAACGUAACCAAUUCGCAUACCAUUGGGAUUUCAAAAGAAACAUAUACAAUCGCGUUUAACCCAUAAGAUAAUUAUAACUCUAAAGAAAUUUUCAUUUACGUUUCAGAAGAGAAUAUAGCCCAGUCUAAUUUAUUAACAUGCCAAAUUUCAUAAUCGAAAGAGAAACGUCAUUUAGGUGAUCACUGACGUCUGACUUUUGUCUCUAAAGAAAUCGUGACGUCACGAUAUAUCCUUGAAAGAGGCGCUAUUAUGGCCGGUCAAGCCUACGCUCUAGGCCAGGGGCUAGGCUAGGCUAUUUCCGCUAUUCAGCUUAUGGACAAAAAUAGUCCUAGAGAGGUUUCGAACAAGAAGCUGCUGGGACCUCUAGUACCCCUCCGUCGGAGAAAGAUGAUUUUCGUACUUCCGCCACUUCAAUCGAACCUCUUCAAUCCCAUCUCAUCGUCCAUUUCCCUUAUCUAUGACAUUUCGAGAGCGAUAUUCUUUACAUCCGAUAAUUUCCACCGGUCGUCCAUCCAUUAAUCUCGCUUCCUCUCUUACAGUUUAAUCUCUAGCUUUUGCAAUUAUACAGAUAGAAGCAAAGUAUCCGAGAUUUAUCAAACAAACUUUAAACAAGAGACCGAUAUUCCUGCACGAAAUUUUCAAUUUUCUUGGACAAAAGAAAACAAUCUUCUACCAAUUUCCUUAUACAAAGGAACGUCCAUUCGCCUGCAAUUUCCCUGCCAUUUGCAUAGGAUAAAGAUCAACGUUCUUUAAAGAACCGAAUCGACGAAACCUUCGUUCGUUGCGUUUCGAGAACAGAGCUUAAUUACAUGGAUGUGAUCGUAGGGACGCGGACGAUUUACAAUUAUUUCGGUAAUCGGUGGAAGCAAUUAAUCUCGGCGCACCCACAUAAUCGCGUUACUCUGUGUCGGCGCAGGCGCGCGUUUCUCCCCGUCGAAAACGGCUAUUUCCACCGUCGGCGACGCGCGACAGGUGCUCGGUCCAUGCCAAAGCAAAAGCGCAGCCUGGCCCACACCGUGCUCCCGUGAAACGCUACGAUUCUCGGCUGCACGAGUGAUUUCGAAACCGUGAGACCAGAACGCCGACGUGUGGGUAUUUUCAAUCGUCUCUUCUUUUUGCUGGCAGUGCGUUCAACGGUCCGACCGACUCGCCUCUCGUCCUGGCCGGACCGAUAGGUGAAGGCGAUCGAAUCGAGUCACCUCUCGACGUAUUUUUGGGCAGCCACGUGAUACCGUUUUCCAAUUUGUGCACGAGUUACGAAGUAGGUCCUCGUCACCGACUAUCGAGAUUUUCUUUCAAGCCUUCUUUUUCUUCUUUUUUUUUUCUUUUGUUAAUUCUUCUGUAAAACCAGGAUCGCAAGGUCUCCGUUUCUCGACAACUUGCGACUCUGUGAUUAUCCACGAUUAGAUGAGAUCCACGAUUACCCUGUCGGUUUAGAUCAGAGACUCGAAAGAUUUAGUGGCUAGUGAGAUUUACAAUUCAUCUCGUUUUAAGAAAAAUCCGUAGACUGAAAACUAGGAAUUAUACCGAGAGAAGUGUACGUACUACAGCCUCGGUAGAAUCGGCCGAUCGCUCAAGGUUGCCAAAUAGUCGUCUUCUAUAUAUCACGCACCCUCACCUUUCACCUCUUCCAUGUACUAGACAAAUGCAUCUACCAAAAGAAGAGCAACGGUAAGAAGGAAAUUACCUUAACGACCAAUGGGUUAAGUUUCCAUUCGUUUGGUGAGAAACGACGGUUAGUAAUGAACGUAGAUUCCCAAGAGGAUGCGAAGGAACAUCCAAGUAGUCUAAGGAUGAUCCGAAUACAAAUUGUACCCGAUGAGACGAGAAAAUAGCGAAUUUGGUUAACCCAGUUCCAUAGACCUCGUUACUGGCGCUCGCGACCUUAACGUUCGUCGUUUAACCGGUCGAAGUAGAACCCAAAGAGACAGAGCGUGAGAUCCAUCUCGAAAGCUGCUCCACCUGCCACCGGACACCAGUGUGACCAGGCUGACCGUCCGGCAGCACGCCUACACAAAUUGCUACUGCGUUAUUUCGAGUGAUUUAGCCUUGGGUGGCGGCCAGAGAAAACUUUUGAAAUAUCGGGGAACGUUUGGUCUCUUCCUUGGCCAUCAGGAUUUCAAGAUAAGCACAAAGUAGAACAAAGUGGUCCGCGAGUAACAGCAACGAGUUCGCAACCAGAACGUCGUCUCGUUUCGUACUAUGAUACCUUGUCGUUAGGAGGAUCGACAUCACCUGGUUCGUCCUGCAUAUCCAUCUUCAUUCUGCGAAGAAUAAUUCAAUAUAAUAAAUAUAAUUGAAAACGAUUCUCUGCAAGAUUUUGUUGAAUGUUAUCUAUGUUACCGCUUGCUUAAGGAGUCCACACACACGAUUCAACGUCGUUUGAUAGUAACAAGUCGUUGUUCUAAAGUAUGAAUGUCAGACCAUUUGCCAAGACUGCAACGAAAUUUACGAUACAACCUGUCACGUGUUACUCUUUGCCCCUUGUUUUCGUUUAAUAGCGCGAGAAUCGUAUAUAACCACUCGAAUAUUGCCAAUACGUACAACAUCUUCAUUUUCCUUACAAUAUUCGAUCCCUUUAAGAAUUUCCAAGCCUAAACCAGCGUAGCAACGAUAAACGUUAUGUUCAACCAUAUUCGAGCAACAUUCUACUUGUAAAAAAAGGGUGCAACACAUUGGGAGAAAGCAUAAUCGAAAAACUUUCCAAAUGUCUAACGACGCGCGCGCCUAUGUGUGUGUGUGUAUGUGUGCGCGUGUGUAUGUGCGUGUGAAUAAAAAAAAAAAAGUAGAAAAUACGACCGAUCGAAAUUGCAAUGGUUCGCAGCAAAGCCAGGGAUAAUUGGAUUUUUCGCGAGUGCACGGAGGUUUGGCACAACGGUGAAUAGGUUCCUUGACGAAAACGAGCUCUGGCCCGGAACGUCGACAAACCAGAACGAGAAAUAAUAAUAACAGCUCACGCAAAGAUUCCACUCGCGAUUUCGAUCUAACAUUUAAAUAGAUUUUGCGCUCGCGUACGAGCGUAAGAAAGGAAGACAGAGACGGAGGCACUCUUUCUGGGUUGGCCGGCCAGUUGGAAAUCCAAUCGAAGCUUGUUUUACUUUCUCAUUUUUACGAUGCUUAUUUUCAUUUCUUCUUUCAUGAUCUCUUAUAUAGAUUCUUAUGCAAGAGAAUCAUGGUGUAAUCAAUGAACGUAUUGAAAUGCUGUCUUGUUGGUAGAACUUGAUCUAUGAAUCGCAGUCUCAUCCGCACGGAAAAUUAUGAUUUUCUUUCUUACGUGUAAUGCUCGUUUCAUUAAUGCGCUUUGCUUUCGUUAUAUAGUUAUAUGGUUCCAUAAAAUGAAUUUCAGAUAAUUAUAUAGCGUACGAUUCGUAACAUUGCACUGUUCGCUUUGCAUAGAGAGACUCGUUGUCUAAAUACAAGGACAACUAAAAAAUCGGUGCCAAAUGACUGAACAAUUUGGCCAGUUUCUUAAUACAAAAAGAUAUAUUAAAGACAUUAUCUUCGAACACGUGUAUAUAAUUAUUUGAUAUACAGAUGGAAUGCGUGGAAAAUAAAAUUGAAUGUUUAUUCUGUAUCUUCUGCCAUACGAAAAUCAACUGGAAUAAUCGUUUCGUUACUGGGAUUUACUUUUGUAACGUUCCCCAUUAUCAAAUAUGCAUAUGAUUGAUUAAGAUAUGCAUUGAUUGAUAUACGUUUUAGAAAUAUUUUUUAACAUCCAGGCAAGAAUACCUCCGGACAGAACAGCUCCGCUCC